UUUUUUAUGUUAAUAUUUAAUAAAAAAAUUAAUAAUUUGGAUAUCCAAAAACUGAUCAAAAUCAAACCGCACAAAAUUGGAUCAGAUUUUUUUUAAUUAGUCAUUUAAAACUGAACCAAACCGCUUGUAAUUUUAACUUUAGAUCGGAUGACUUUUUGUCUCAAAACCGAUCCAAAUCGAACCGCGAGCACUCUUCCAAUCAAUAAUUAACGGCCAAAAUUUAAAACUGCGAACUUAUUUACCGCAGCAAAUCGCAAUCCCUAUUUAGGAAUAGUGUCACACCAAUGAGAGUCUUGAAUUUGCAAUCCAAAAAUAGCAAUACCAUCAAUACACUAAUUGCAUUCCCUAUGAAUAUGCAUGGUAAUGAAAAAACAUAGGCUUUGCAAGCUCAACAUAAUUUAACCAAAAAUUACGAUGGAUCCGAUCCCCCGCAACUACAUUUGGGAGAGAACUGAAAUCACUUGAUGUCAGAACUCGUCCCGAACUCUGGACUACUAGGACCCCUUUCUCCUAGGAACCAAUUUUUUAUAUUGAAAAUACAUCACAAAUGCCGAACAAAAGUAUAAUAAUAAUUGGCGCUAGCUAGCUCAAACCAAUUUAAAACACCUAAGCAACUAGACAUAAAUUAAUGCCACUUGAAGAAAUUUUAGAUUAAAAUAAAAUAAAACAUGACACACAAAUGAUUAUAAGGGGUAUAUACUCCUGAAUCAGAGAAACUGAACCCAAGGAGUAUAUAGUAGCUAAAGUGUAGUGAAACUGCAAAAACAUUGAGAUCUUCAUUACUAUACUUUUGGAGUGAAUAAAGAAAAGUUAUGCACACAUUUCAAUAAUUAUGACAUAAUCGAACAUUUAUACGUCAAAUUUAUAGUAAUUGAGACCAUUAUUUCUUUUGGAAAAUGCAGAGGAUCUCUACUUAAACACUCAUAUGCAAAUGAGCGGAGCUAUUUAAUUCUCACCGCCAUGCAGUGGCAACUUUUGGGAAAUCCUCUGCACAAUCCAAAAAACCAUCCAUCAGCAACACAAUUGAAAAAACAAUCCUGAUGAUCACAGACCGAUCCAUCAGUUUGUACCACCAUCUCUGCAAUAAUUGAUCGAACAAAUAAUUUAACCAACACAACUUAAUUGAACAAAUUUCAUUAUUUAGUAAAAAAAAAAUUUACAUAUUAAUUAUUUCUAUGUUAUGCACUUAUAGUUAUGAUUGUAUGCACCAAUUAUUGUUAUAUAUGUUUUUGGGCUCCGCUAACUUGUGCCCUAAGGGCACAUUUUAAGGUGCAUUUAAUUAACUAGUAUUCCACUUAAUGUAUUUCAAAAAUAGUAAUAAUCAACUUUUGUGAUUAAAAGAUAUGAUCCACUAUGUUUAUUAAUUAUUUAAAUGAAUUUGAAAUACAAAUUAUGAUACUCUUACCAAAGAUCAUGAUGAUGCACGCGCCUGACUAAUUAUAUGUAUCCUUAAUAAAAAAAAUUAUAUGCAUCCAAAUUAUUUUUCAUUUGUUAACAAUUAGGCCUUUUAUUUUUUGCACAAAAACAAGAUGCUGACUUUAAGAUGGUAUACAUAAUCAUCUUCUAAAUCAUCUUCAAAAUCAAAGUUUGUAUACCAUCUACAAAAUCAGUAAAAUUUCCAACGUGUAAAAUUGAGGUGUAAAAUUCAUUGAAAAGCAAUUCAAAGAAGCUUUGUACCAAAAAUAGAAGCUUUGUACUACGUACCAAAAAAAAAUUGACCAACGCGUUUAUCAUCAUGAUCUUUGACAACAGUAUCAUAAUAUGUUUUUCAAAUUCAUUUAAAUAAUUAAUAAAUAUAGUGGACCAUAUCUUUUAAUUAAUAAAAUUUAUUAUUACUAUUUAUAAAAUAGUAAUAAAUAUGAUUGUAUGCACCAAUGAUUAUUAUAUGUUGUAAUGCCUUUAUGUCAAAAAUAACUAUUGUAGUAUGCAAAAUAUAUAAGACUUACGACAAGCAAGGAGAAUAAACAAAAUGAAGAACAAUCCAAAACGUGCCUUAUUCAUAAUUACCACUUACAACAAUCUUCACCUAAAUCUAUUAUAAUCUUCUUCUUUUUUUAAGAAGCUAAAUCUAUUACAAUCUUAAUUAAAUAACUCGCAUCGAGUUAUCUAUUUAUAGAUGUGGAGGAUAUAAAAAAUCAUUUAAUUUCUUUUUUGAAAAU
rnacentral:lncRNA from 1 species